CGUGGGUAACCUGCCCAAGAGACUGGGAUAACACCUGGAAACAGAUGCUAAUACCGGAUAACAACACUAGACNCAUGUCUAGAGUUUAAAAGAUGGUUCUGCUAUCACUCUUGGAUGGACCUGCGGUGCAUUAGCUAGUUGGUAAGGUAACGGCUUACCAAGGCAAUGAUGCAUAGCCGAGUUGAGAGACUGAUCGGCCACAUUGGGACUGAGACACGGCCCAAACUCCUACGGGAGGCAGCAG
rnacentral:rRNA from 1 species